GUUUUACCUUAUUUGCCCUAUUACCACAAGCUGAGCUGUUAUAACAUGUUACACCCUCCUUCACACAUACUCAAGGUCAACACACACAGACACUGGAACAUCCUGUUCUCUACAUAACAGCGAGCGGCCUAACCACAAAGCGCCCUUGAGGGGUUGCUGAGUCUGAUACACUAUCUCGUGACAAACACCAGCUGCAGAGGCACCCCCAACCCUGAGAAAGAGGAACACACACGCACACGCCUAAUCUCCUUUUUAGCUGAACAUUGUGUGACCAAGAACAGGCACGACGAGACUCUAUGAUGACGGAUGGUCCAACUGAGCCAAUACAAGAAGACUACACUCCAGCCUGAACCAAUCCGAAGACCCGAUCUUCUAGAAUCAACCUACUUUCUGUUCUGUAUAUAAUACAUGUGCACACUGUUAGCGGGGCUUCUUUCUGCUGGUUUCACAUGAGCUAACAGAAGGGCCCGUAUAUACGCUGUACCAGAUAUCUUCACUCAUAAUUAAACUGUCGCUUGUCAUACAAUUUACCACUUUGUCUGAAUCGAUCCUUGACCGGCUCACCCAUCUACAUAUCCCAUUAUCAACAAAGGACAAGAGUGUCAGACCAGCCUUCACUGUUUGAUGAGCGGGGGCAGUCUUCCCCUGCCUUAGCCAGCCGGCAGCAAUCACACUGACCAUACCAUUGUCUUCCGUUAAUUGUGAGAGGGACUUCUCUGCAAUGGAAUGAGCAAGAACAAUUAAAUGUGAAAGUAGAUCCUCUUUGUCCCUCUCCCUUCUCUUAUUAUACUCUCCCUUCUCUUAUUAUUCUUUCUUUUUCCAAAAGCCCAGAAGAAUAAAGUGCUCUGACAAAGACUGUAAACUAUGUCAGAACUAGGUUUUUAUCAAAACCUGGAAAGAGAUUUCCAAUGCUCUCUUUUUGUGCUGAACAUGAAUAAGUGGGCUCUAAUUCAUGUUCAGUCAAAUGUUCCUCUGUUCAUUUUGUCAAGAUACAAUUAUUUAUUUAAUAAAUAAGGUCUCUGUUGUGUUUCUUUA